rnacentral:rRNA from 1 species
CCUGCCUUUAAGACGAGAAUAACAAUUGGAAACAGUUGCUAAGGCUGGAUAGGAAAUAAAAAGGCAUCUUUUUAUUUUUAAAAGACCUUCUUCGGAGGGUAUGCUUAAAGAGGGGCUUGCGUCACAUUAGUUAGUUGGUAGGGUAAUGGCCUACCAAGACGAUGAUGUGUAGCUGGACUGAGAGGUUGAACAGCCACAUUGGGACUGAGACACGGCCCAAACUCCUACGGGAGGCAGCAGUAGGGAAUUUUCGGCAAUGGAGGAAACUCUGACCGAGCAACGCCGCGUGAACGACGAAGUACUUCGGUAUGUAAAGUUCUUUUAUUGAAGAAGAAACAAUAGUGGAAAAACUAUCUUGACGUUAUUCAAUGAAUAAGCCCCGGCUAACUAUGUGCCAGCAGCCGCGGUAAUACAUAGGGGGCGAGCGUUAUCCGGAAUUAUUGGGCGUAAAGGGUGCGUAGGCGGUUUAAUAAGUCUCUAGUUUAAUUUCAACGCUUAACGUUGUCCUGCUAGAGAAACUGUUUGACUAGAGUGAGAUAGAGGUAAGCGGAAUUCCAUGUGUAGCGGUAAAAUGUGUAAAUAUAUGGAGGAACACCAGAGGCGUAGGCGGCUUACUGGGUCUUUACUGACGCUGAUGCACGAAAGCGUGGGGAGCAAACAGGAUUAGAUACCCUGGUAGUCCACGCCGUAAACUAUGAGUACUAAGUGUCGGGGUUAAACUCGGUACUGAAGUUAACACAUUAAGUACUCCGCCUGAGUAGUACGUACGCAAGUAUGAAACUUAAAGGAAUUGACGGGAUCCCGCACAAGCGGUGGAUCAUGUUGUUUAAUUCGAAGAUACACGAAAAACCUUACCAGGUCUUGACAUACUCUGCAAAACUAUAGAAAUAUAGUGGAGGUUAUCAGGGAUACAGGUGGUGCAUGGUUGUCGUCAGCUCGUGUCGUGAGAUGUUAGGUUAAGUUCUAAAACGAGCGCAACCCCUGUCGUUAAUUGCCAGCACGUUAUGGUGGGGACUUUAGCGAGACUGCCAAUGAAAAAUUGGAGGAAGGUGGGGAUUACGUCAAAUCAUCAUGCCCCUUAUGAUCUGGGCUACAAACGUGAUACAAUGGCUAUUACAAAGAGUAGCUUAAACGCGAGUUUUUGGCAAAUCUCAAAAAAAUAGUCUUAGUUCGGAUUGAAGUCUGCAACUCGACUUCAUGAAGUUGGAAUCGCUAGUAAUCGCGAAUCAGCAUGUCGCGGUGAAUACGUUCUCGGGGUUUGUACACACCGCCCGUCAAACCACGAAA